UACCAAUAGGGUAAGUGGGUUUUAAAAGAAUUUUCUAAUAAUAAAAACUUAAUUUCUGGCGCCAUAUCAGGCCAGCACCUAAUAAGGGUUCACUUCCGGUAUGGGGAAACAAAGGGGGCAGCUGUUGUUUGGCGUGCAUGCUGGCGCUGUUGUGGGACCGGCUCGGUUGGUGUGUCGUCGCUGUGGCGGGAGCUGAGUCUGGUAGGUUUUAAUGAUUAAUUCAGCGCAUGUCUUUUUACUUGGUAUGCGUAAAGUCAAGCUUAGAUUAAAUAUAUAUUUUUUUAAUUAUUUAGGAGGUAGAUCAUAGAUGCAGCAGUAAGCCGUGUUAGGAAUCCAACACGGGUUUUCCUUCUGCUCGGUUGUUUGGUGGUGCAGUGGUCCAGUGGUGGAGGGCCAUCUAAUUAAAUAGAGCUUUAGGCUUCACUGCCAAAGUAUAGUAAGUAUGGUUGUUUAAUUGGGGGUUGUGUAGUGUAAUAUAUCUCCUGGUUCUAGAAUGUGUUUAUUGAUUAUUAUUAACAAUUAUUAUUUAUAUAAUGGUGUUAAUAUUGAACUAUCUGCUUUAAUUUUAGCACAGACUGAGUAUUGUCCAGCCUUCCUUCUCCACUUGUGUUGGAGUGUAGCAUUCUACAAUUUAGUGGAACUGGGCCUUGUUGCCUGUGAGCCACUGUUUUCCUCCUACCACGUUUUUAUUUAAUGAACACUGUGCAAUAUCUCUGAGCCAUCUUGUUUAGUUGAUUGUGUACUGACCAUUCAGCAGUUCUUUGUGAGCUCAGUAUUUUUACUUGUGUUUACUGUGUUUUAGAUAGACACGGUUUCUAAUAUCCCCUACUGGGCCUUAUGUAUGUAACUAAUAGUGGCAUUGGAUACUGACUCAUGGUGUUUUGUUAAUUUGGUGUACACCUGUAGCAUCCUUUAUUUGAUGUCAAAACUAGUUUUGUUUGUAGAGUGAUUUAUUUUGUUUGUGGUUGUUUUGGUUGCUAGUGUGCGUCAUAACACAGAUUUAUUUAUUUAUUUAUUUAUUAUUUUCUUUCAUUUGAGGUGAAUGAUUUGUUUUCAAUAACUGAAGUGUUGCAGGUGUUACACUCUUUUGUUUAUUUUCUUUUUGUUGUCAGGGUCAGUAAUAACAUUAUUCUCUCCAUUUUUGGAGUUUUUGGUUGAUGUAACCAUAAUUGCUGCUAUUGUUUAACUGAAAGUGCCAGAAUUUCUCUUUUUAUGAAGCCUUUGUCUGUAUUAUUAUAAUUGCUGUUAUUAGCUAACUGAAAGGGCCUUAAAGUAUUUUAUGCUUGUGUCCUGCUGAUUUUAUACAAUAAAUGAUAUAUUUUUGUUAAUCAGC